rnacentral:rRNA from 1 species
UACGGAGGGUGCGAGCGUUGUCCGGAAUCACUGGGCGUAAAGGGCGCGUAGGCGGCCUGAUAAGUAGGGGGGUGAAAAUCCUGCGGCUUAACCGCAGGGCUGCCUUCUAAACUGUCGGGCUCGAGCACAGUAGAGGCAGGUGGAAUUCCCGGUGUAGCGGUGGAAUGCGUAGAGAUCGGGAAGAACAUCAGUGGCGAAGGCGGCCUGCUGGGCUGUUGCUGACGCUGAGGCGCGACAGCGUGGGGGAGCAAACAGG